AGGGGCAGCUGAACCAGAAUCACCAAAUUACAGAGUUCUAGACACCCAGUGAAUGCUUCAGGUUCCAGGGAUUUCACCAAUAGCAAUGAAAGUCUUCUUCUGUUAAUUUUGACUGUUGCUCAGCAUUUGUCCAGAAGCUUUAAAAAAAAAAGCAGGCUUACUUUCAGUGCCAUCUAUCACAGCUGCAGAAUUAUAUAAUGACACGUCAAAAUAAUGACUCUGAAGCCUUCCAAAUCUUCCAAGAAAGAAGGUCCUAGUCAGGAUAUCACGUCUCAUUUAUUUGUGAUGUCUUUAUGGUUUCCUCUGAUCUGUGACAUCAGAUACAACAGACACUUCUGAAGAGUCCAGUGCCCCACCUGGAUGGACCUGGUCAUACCUCUACCUCAAGGCUAAUGCUGAAGUUGUUUGAUUUGGCUGUUAAAGAUUGAGUAGAAUUUUAAAAGAUGGAACGUAGAAGUAGAAGAAUUAAUUCCAGAAAUUGAAAGUAGCAAAACAAAGGUGCAAACUCAUAAAAAAAAAGAUCAAGGCAAAUUUUGGCAU
rnacentral:lncRNA from 1 species